GGCCUGGUGGUGUAGUGGUAACAUCUCCUCUUUAUAUGUAGCAGGAUGGCAUAUUUCUGAGGAAGUCCCUGUUCAACUCGGGGUCAGUCCA